rnacentral:tRNA from 1 species
CCGCCCUUAGCUCAGUUGGUAGAGCAGUUGCCUCUUAAGCAAACGGUCGUAGGUUCGACUCCUACAGGGCGGA